GGGAACGGAGCAGCUCUUGUCACAAGUCUCCAGGUGCCUCAGAGACACAGCGGGAAAGAUCGGGAAAGAUCUGGCCCUGUGCGGCGGCUUCUCCGACCUUGGGACCAGACUGCAGACUGCCCCUCACCGUUCCUCUUCCACAGUGAUGUUCCGGCGCCCCGCGCACAGGUGCUUCCACACGCAGUUUGGGAACCGCAGAGCCCAGCCCAAAGCAUCACCCCGAGUGCAGACAUCGCGUGCUUUGGGAGCGGAAGUAGCUGGCGUCACAGGGAACGCAUGCUGGUGGCUCUUGGGGCAGGGGCCUGGGGGUGACUGUUUUGGAGGUGGCUGUACCCUGAGCCCCAUCCCACUUGCCGGUCCUCUCUGUGGGUGGUACCUUGACCCAGGCCAACCUUUCAGCCGUCCUCGACAUGGAGGGCUCAGGAUCCCAGGCCGGCCGGAGGUAUCCCGCCCUCUUGGUCUGAAAAGACAUCACAGCCAGGCCCCACACUGCCGACUGCAGAAAGAUGGCCUCUUAGGAUUGCAUCUGGGACCUCACAGCUAAAGCAAGAAAAACAUCCUUAGGUGCGGGGGACCAGCCCACGCACCAGAGUCUAAGGGUCCCUGAGUAGGGGGUUGGUGUCGGCGAAAUAUCUACAAGAAAGAACACAGACAUCAUGAAUGGUGGAAGAGACCACACUUUACUGUGAAACUUGGUGUCUUAUAUACCACAGGUGAUUACAUCUUUCUUUUAAUGAUUACAUUGUUUGUAACUUCUUAGGAAUCACAUGCUUCAGAAUAGAUCAUUGUUUUCACGAAAGAGAGAACAGAAAAUUAAAGACAGGAAUGAGGUACAAUACAGAAGAUCA
rnacentral:lncRNA from 1 species